GUAGUCAUGGCUGAGUGGUUAAGGUGAUGGACUAGAGCUUCAUUGGGGUCUCCCCGUGCAGGUUCAAAUCCUGCUGACUAUG